GACGAACGCUGGCGGCGUGCUUAACACGUGCAAGUCGAACGGAAAGGCCCUGCUUUUGUGGGGUGCUCGAGUGGCGAACGGGUGAGUAACACGUGAGUAACCUGCCCUUGACUUUGGGAUAACUUCAGGAAACUGGGGCUAAUACCGGAUAGGAGCUCCUGCUGCAUGGUGGGGGUUGGAAAGUUUCGGCGGUUGGGGAUGGACUCGCGGCUUAUCAGCUUGUUGGUGGGGUAGUGGCUUACCAAGGCUUUGACGGGUAGCCGGCCUGAGAGGGUGACCGGCCACAUUGGGAAUGAGAUACGGCCCAGACUCCAACGGGAGGCAGCAGGGGGGAAAAUGGCACAAUGGGCGGAAGCCUGAUGCAGCAACGCCGCGUGCGGGAUGACGGCCUUCGGGUUGUAAACCGCUUUCGCCUGUGACGAAGCGUGAGUGACGGUAAUGGGUAAAGAAGCACCGGCUAACUACGUG
rnacentral:rRNA from 1 species